rnacentral:rRNA from 1 species
CACUGAAAUUUAAAGAGCCGCGGUAUUUUGACUGUGCAAAGGUAGCAUAAUAAUUAGUGUAUUAAUUGUGCACUGGAAUGAAAGGGUUGACGAGAAAGGCUCUGUCUCUAUUUGAUUCAUAUAAUUUUACUUUCUAGUGAAAAGGCUGGAAUUUUUUUUUAGGACGAUAAGACCCUAUAGAGUUUAAUAUUUAUUUAUUUUAUAUAAUUUGUUUAAUUUCUUUUAUAUUUUAUUUAUGAUGUUUUGUUGGGGUGAUGUGAAUAAUUAAUAAACUAUUCAUUAUUUUUUUUCAUUGAUUUAUGAUAUUUUUGAUCCUUUAUUAUGGAUAUAAAGAUAAAAUUACCUUAGGGAUAACAGCGCAAUUAUUUUUGAGAGUUCUUAUUGAUAAAAUAGAUUGUGACCUCGAUGUUGGAUUAAAAUUAUUAUUUGGGUGUAGGUGCUCAUAUUAUUGGUCUGUUCGACCAUU